rnacentral:tRNA from 1 species
GCCUGGCUGGCUCAGUCGGUGGAGCAUGAGACUCUUGAUCUCAGUGUUGUGAGUUCGAGCCCUGUGUUGGGUG